GACUCCGUAGCUCAGUUGGUAGAGCAAUUGACUCUUAAUCAAUGGGUCGAGGGUUCGAGUCCCUCCGGGGUCAC
rnacentral:tRNA from 1 species